GACGAACGCUGGCGGCGUGCUUAACACAUGCAAGUCGAACGGAAAGGCCCUGCUUUUGUGGGGUGCUCGAGUGGCGAACGGAUGAGUAACACGUGAGUAACCUGCCCUUGAUUUUGGGAUAACUUCAGGAAACUGGGGCUAAUACCGGAUAGGAGCUCCUGCUGCAUGGUGGGGGUUGGAAAGUUUCGGCGGUUGGGGAUGGAAUCGCGGCUUAUCAGCUUGUUGGUGGGGUAGUGGCUUACCAAGGCUUUGACGGGUAGCCGGCCUGAGAGGGUGUCCGCCCACAUUGGGCCUGAGAUACGGCCCAGACUCCUACGGGAGGCAGCAGUGUGGAAUAUUGCACGAUGGGCGGAAGCCUGAUGCGGCAACGCCGCGUGCGAGAUAACGGCCUUCGGGUUUUGAACCGCUUUCGCCUGUGACGAAGCGUGAGUGACGGUAAUGGGUAAAGAAGCACCGGCUAACUACGUG
rnacentral:rRNA from 1 species